AAACUAUGUGAACGAUCGGUAGGGUUAGUAUGAGAUUUCACAUCUCGCCAACGUUUAUAGAAUUCGA